UACGUAGGGUGCGAGCGUUGUCCGGAAUUAUUGGGCGUAAAGAGCUUGUAGGCGGUCUGUCGCGUCUGCUGUGAAAUCCGGGGCUCAACCCCGGACUUGCAGUGGGUACGGGCAGACUAGAGUGUGGUAGGGGAGACUGGAAUUCCUGGUGUAGCGGUGAAAUGCGCAGAUAUCAGGAGGAACACCGAUGGCGAAGGCAGGUCUCUGGGCCACUACUGACGCUGAGAAGCGAAAGCAUGGGAGCGAACAGG
rnacentral:rRNA from 1 species